AGAGAGAAACAUGAGGGGGGCGGGUUUGAGAGCGGAGAAGGUGAAGGGAGAGUAAUGUGCGUCAAAGAAGAGCUGAAGAGAGAAAAAGAAUGAGAAAGACAAGAAAGAGGGACAGAACGUGUGUCGGGGGAAAUGAGUGAGGUGGGGGGGGAGAGUGAGAAGCAGGCGAAUGAGCAGGAGAGACUAGGAGCGCGUGGCCAGUGAGGGGCGGCUGACGGAGGGGGCUGAGGGGGGCCACCACUCAGCAUCAAGGGCUGGCUGGGUGGGGAAGCUCCAGACGCUCAGGCUCAGUGCAGAGCCAGAAGGAGCAGCAAGCGCGCGUCCACUUCACAGCCACCACUACAACCACACUGCCACCUCUCCUCCUCCUCCUCCUCCUCCCCCGGCCUCUCUUUGAAGUCACGUGGCACCCCCUCCCUUCUCCCCAGCCCCCCGAAUUCCCGGCGUGGGGAAUGGCCUCGGCUUUAUUGUGACGCAAGCAGCCUUAGAAGCCGGCGCCCGCGUCCCCAAGCCCGCCCGGGCCGCGUUCUGCUGGAGCCAGACAGCGACAGCAGCUUGCAGCGCCGCGGCGAGGAGUCCCUGGAGGCGGCGGAGGAGCGGAGAGCCUUGUCAGGAACUUUAUUAUAUGUGACUAAGUCAAUGAAGAUGUGCAUAGCAGAAUAAUGGAAGUCCCUGAAUAUCUUGAUUUGGAUGAAAUAGAUUUUAGUGAUGAUAUAUCUUAUUCAGUAACUUCUCUCAAGACUAUCCCAGAAUUACGUAGGAAGUGUGAUACACAAAAUGAAGAAAGAACAGUUUCUAACACCAACUGGAGUUCAGGAGUUUCAACACUUCUUGGAAAUGCACAAAAACCAACUGGGAUUGCAGAUAUGUACAGUAAGUUUAGACCAGUGAAGAGGGUUUCCCCGCUUAAGCACCAACCAGAAAGCUCUGAAAACAAUGAAAGUGACGACCAAAAGAACCAGAAGAUGGAAUAUCAGAAAGGUAGUGACUCUCAACCUGUAGCUCAGAAUGGUGAUCAGAAUUCGGGGAAUGGAGAGACCCUGAAAACUAAAUGUGUUGAACCUGGAGUUCUGCUUGGUGAGUUGGAGCACUAUGACCUGGACAUGGAUGAAAUUUUGGAUGUGCCUUAUAUUAAAUCAAGCCAGCAGCUUGCUGCUUUUACCAAGGCAGCUCCAGAGAAAAGGAUUUUAAGUGUGUACUCGACGCUGAAUGGUCUCAGUGGCAAGAUGUGCCCUACAGGGAACUCAGAGAAGGCACCAGCAGGAAUGACACAGUUCUGUGUUCUGUCCCCUGUGAAAAACUCUCAGUUGAGAAAAGCACAGCCCAUUGUUCCUGAUCAGCAUAAGCAUUUAGCUGAAGAAUUAGAGUUUCCCCAGCCGCUAGUCAAAUGUGGUCCUGUCCACGAACCUGAAGCCCAGACCAAGGGCUUUCUCAAUAGGACGUUUGUUGAUAAAACCGAGAAGACCAUGCCUAAUUGUCAGUUAAGGACUUUUCAUCUCCAGGCAGGAGUGACAGAAAACAAACAUGAUGAAAUGAACAGCAAUAUGAACUGGAGCAGCUCAGGAGGUCCAGAAGAAAAGAAUGAUGAUGUGAAAAAAAAUAAAAGCAUCUUAAAUAUUGUGAAAGAAGGGCAGAUAUCACUUCUGCCUCAUCUUGCAGCGGACAAUCUGGACAAAAUUCAUGAUGAAAAUGGCAACAAUCUUUUGCAUGUAGCAGCAUCACAAGGACAUGCAGAAUGCUUACAGCAUCUCACAUCUUUGAUGGGUGAAGACUGCUUGAAUGAGCGGAACAGUGAACAGCUUACCCCAGCUGGGUUAGCAAUAAAGAAUGGUCAACUGGAGUGUGUACGGUGGAUGGUCAGUGAAACGGAAGCCAUUGCAGAACUUAGUUGCUCAAAAGAUCACCCAAGCCUUAUUCACUAUGCAGGUUGCUAUGGGCAGGAGAAGAUCCUUCUGUGGCUUCUUCAGUUUAUGCAAGAACAAGGGAUUUCUUUGGAUGAAGUUGAUCAGGAUGGUAAUAGUGCAGUCCACGUAGCUGCUCAGCAUGGCUAUCUAGGAUGUAUACAGACUCUGGUUGAAUAUGGAGCAAAUGUCACUAUGCAAAACCAUGCUGGAGAGAAACCUUCCCAAAGUGCUGAGCGGCAGGGACACACCAUGUGUUCACGUUACUUGGUAGUGGUGGAGACAUGCAUGUCAUUGGCAUCUCAGGUUGUGAAGUUAACAAAACAACUGAAAGAGCAGACAGUAGAACGUGUGGCAUUACAGAACCAGCUCCAACAGCUUCUAGAAACUCAGAGAGCAGAGGGCAAGUCACUGCCAACAUCCCCAAGUUCACCAUCAUCACCCACUUCUGGCAAACUUCAGUGGAAACCAUCUGAUACAGAUGACUUGCAUCUACCGAAAAAUAAAUUGAACACCCAUGAUGGGAUUCAGAUUCUUGGCAGUGUGGGAACUCCACACUACAGUCGGCCCAAGAUAAAAGAUGAGGAUUCUGACAAAAUCCUGCGCCAGCUGCUUGGGAAGGAAAUCUCUGAGAAUGUCUGUAUGCAGGAAAAACUCUCACUAGAAUUUCAGGAUGUUCAUGCCUUGAAGAAUAUGAAGAAGAUUCCUCUGGAGAAAAAGGAGUUGAAGUUAGCACGACUGAAACAUCUAAUGCAGAGAUCACUCAGUGAGUCUGAUACAGAUUCAAAUAAUUCAGAAGACCAGAAGAACACUCCUGUGAAAAGAACUGAUAAGCCAAGGCCUCAACCCAUAGUAGAAAAUAUUGAAAACACUGAGAAUUUGCACCUCAUGAUUAAGAAACACACUUUGGCAGCAGGACGCCGAUUCACUUUUGGAAAUAAAACCUCUAAAUCCUUGGAUGGUCACAGCCCUUCUCCUACUUCAGAAAGCAGUGAUCCUGAUAAUGAAUGCCAGUAUCAGACUGGGGCUGUUUCUCAGGGCCAACUCUUGGGAGAGUCCAGCUCCGAUCUCACCAGUGCUCCCAAAGUGGCCACAAGUCCCAAGAGUGCUCUCAAAUCUCCAUCUUCAAAGCGGAGAACUGCCCAGAAUUUAAAACUCAGAGUGACUUUUGAGGAGCCUGUGGCACAGGUGGAGCAAACAGAAAUUGCUUUAAAUGGAGAAAAGGACAAAGAGCGGAGUAAAGUCCUUCAGCGGCCUGCACCCAGUGCUGAAACUGGGGACCAGCAAAAGCGACCAUUUGGAACAUUUCGAUCCAUAAUGGAGACGCUGAGUGGCAACCAGAACAAUAACAAUAACUAUCAAACUUCAAGCCUAAUCAAGACCUCAACACCCUUUACCUCAUUAGGAAGGAAAGCCACAGAUAGCAAGGGAAAUUCAGCAACUACUUCAAAAGGAAAAAAUAAGCCAGUGAGUGAUUAUAGGGGGCCUUACUCUGGCUACAUCAGUUUUUCCACUAGCAUGCUGAUUGAAGACCGCCUGUGUAACUAUGCAUGCGAAUGGCUACAAGCCGAAGGAGGGUAUGUGCCCACACUCUCACAUGCAACAAGUUGAUUGUUGUUCUUCCAGCACAGCCCUCCAUGCUCUACAGCUCCACAUUGCAUGCCAAACUGUUUUUCACAGAGUGGAGUUUCAGUAAUGGUUUGUGAUGUGGGAAAGAGAGACUGACUUGCCAAAAAAUACAAAACAACUCCAUUUCACACACGCAAGCAUAACAACAAUGCAAAACUUGAACAGUCUUUCAGCAAAAAUUGUAUUGACGAAACAGAGCCGCAAGAAUUCUUCCUUUGACUCGCAUCUCAUGGGGUCUCGCAGUCUUCCUCCAAACAUGGCCUGAAAUCUUCCCACUUCUUUAAAGAACAAAAAAGUAAUGAUAUGACAUAACUUUCACCAGCAGAUUAACAGACUCUUAGAAUGCCUUAAAUUUUCAGCAGCUAGACCAUAUAAAAAUUAAUAUAUGUGUCUUUGUCACUUGUUUGUGAAGUAUACUGAUUUAAGGCAUGAGUGAGCAAAAGCAAAAGCCAUGGUUUGGAAAUAUAAUGAUGCAAAGAGCCUCCGGAUAGUUCAUCUGAUCACUGCACUCAUUUUGUGCAUCACCUGUUGCAUGGAUAUAAUGUCUUGUAUUUCCCUUUCGCAAAACCUUUCUGUGUAAAAAAGCAGUUUGCCUGCCCAAAUCUUCACUGAGCCCAAGGCAAGGACUUUUUAGCCCUCUUGGUCUACCAUGUUUUGUCAUUAUUUCUAAUUUUUGUAUAAAAGAAAAUAAACCAGUGUUAACCAAAACACAGUGUGACAUAA